rnacentral:rRNA from 1 species
GACGUAGGGGGCGAGCGUUGUCCGGAUUUAUUGGGCGUAAAGCGCGCGUAGGCGGUCCGUUAAGUCGGGUGUGAAAACCCGGGGCUCAACCCCGGGCCUGCAUCCGAUACUGGCGGACUGGAGGCAGGUAGGGGAGAGUGGAAUUCCCGGUGUAGCGGUGAAAUGCGCAGAUAUCGGGAGGAACACCUAUGGCGAAGGCAGCACUCUGGGACGGUACUGACGCUGAGACGCGAAAGCGUGGGGAGCGAACAGGAUUAGAAACCCUAGUAGU